rnacentral:rRNA from 1 species
GACGAACGCUGGCGGCGUGCUUAACACAUGCAAGUCGAACGGAAAGGCCCUGCUUUUGCGGGGUGCUCGAGUCGCGAACGGGUGAGUAACACGUGAGUAACCUGCCCUUGACUUUGGGAUAACUUCAGGAAACUGGGGCUAAUACCGGAUAGGAGCUCCUGCUGCAUGGUGGGGGUUGGAAAGUUUCGGCGGUUGGGGAUGGACUCGCGGCUUAUCAGCUUGUUGGUGGGGUAGUGGCUUACCAAGGCUUUGACGGGUAGCCGGCCUGAGAGGGUGACCGGCCACAUUGGGACUGAGAUACGGCCCAGACUCCUACGGGAGGCAGCAGUGGGGAAUAUUGCACAAUGGGCGGAAGCCUGAUGCAGCAACGCCGCGUGCGGGAUGACGGCCUUCGGGUUGUAAACCGCUUUCGCCUGUGACGAAGCGUGAGUGACGGUAAUGGGUAAAGAAGCACCGGCUAACUACGUG